rnacentral:snRNA from 1 species
UUAUUAAGCAUCAGCACAUGCACUGAAAUUAGAAUGUUAACAGCGAAGACUAACAUGACCCCUGUGCAAAGAUGGCAUUCAAAUCCAUGAAGCAUUCCACUUAAAA